CCUACGGGAGGCAGCAGUGAGGAAUAUUGGUCAAUGGACGAGAGUCUGAACCAGCGAAGUAGCGUGAAGGAUGACUGCCCUAUGGGUUGUAAACUUCUUUUAUAUGGGAAUAAAAUGUUCCACUUGCGGGAUUUUGUAUGUACCCUAUGUAUAAGGCUCGGCUAACUCCGUGCCAGCAGCCGCGGUAAUACGGAGGAUCCGCGCGUUAUCCGGAUUGAUUGGGUUUAAAGGGAGCGUAGGUGGAUUGUUAAGUCAGGUGUGAAAGUUUGCGGCUCAACCGUAAAAUUGCAGUUGAAACUGGCAGUCUGGAGUACAGUAGAGGUGGGCGGAAUUCGUGGUGUAGCGGUGAAAUGCUUAGAUAUCACGAAGAACUCCGAUUGCGAAGGCAGUUCACUGGACUGCAACUGACACUGAGGCUCGAAAGUGUGGGUAUCAAACAGGAUUAGAUACCCGGGUAGUC
rnacentral:rRNA from 1 species